AUGUCUUCAAUAGAAUUGCCUUGCAUCAAGGGGGGGGGGGGGUUCAUAAAGAUUUUAGAGUGACUUACAGUCGAUUUUCAAAAUUUAAACAGCAACAUGAAUCAUGAUUAAAAACAGGAUUACAAAACGCACUGGUAUGAGAUACAAACGGAGAGUUCUGUGUCCCCCAUUCCCGCUCGUAAGAGUAAACGUCUUUCAAAUCGCGAUUUGGAGGAAAAUUUAAACAUCGAAAAAGAUAAUUCCAUACAAUAUGCACAUCCGACCCCAUAUAUGUGGGACUUUCAUGAUUUUUUUUAUCCCUGAUUUCUGGUUCUUUCAACAGUCUGUAAUACUUUCAAAGGACCAUGACUUGGUCAGUUUAGGAAGUGAAGUAAAACACUUGAGAGAAAUGGGGGUCGGAUGUACUGAAAGGUUGAGUAUUUUACAGGAAUUACCCGUUUAUAACAGCUUCAUAUUUUCGACAUUGGACAAUGCAUCCCUGGUCGUGUUUGUGUUUUGUGACUGACUUUUCAAUCAUGAUUAAUGUUGCUAUUUAAAUUUGAAAAAAAAAACCCUCGACAUUGAACACACCCUAAAUCACACUAAAAUCUUUGUGAAGCACCCCCUGGUCAUAUAGUACACAAAGAAAAGGACAAAGCUCGUAUCAUAGAUUAAUAAUCAAGCAAUAUAUUCAAACGACUAUAUAAUGCAUUUUACAUUAAAAAAGCAGAUCCUGAUAUACAGAUACAAUCAAUUUGAACAGUCUCAUCCAGUACUUUUCAAGCAAUUCUCAUAUGGGUGUAUUUUCACAGGAAUGCAUGUAGAAGGUUUGCGAUGGAUUCAAGUGUCAUGCUGGUCUGAUGGAGACUGAGCCCUCUAUAGAAAUCAUGGCACGUAUUCUGAAGUCGGGAUUAAAGUUGUGAUACCCUGUAAACUAAGCAUAAUUGAUACAUAAAAUCUGUAUAAACCAUCAUGGGUUCAACUGAUAGAUUUCAAAACCACCUCUGUGCAUGGGCGGAAAUCUCUCCCAAAAAGUAGGGGGGGGGGGGGGGGACAAGGGCUGGAAAAUUUGACAAGCCCCCCCCCCAAAAAAAAAGUUAUCACCCCAAAUUUAAGCUCAUUUCGACCUAAAUAACAUGUUUUAUUUCGAUUUUGAAUGAUGUAUUUCUAACAGUCAUAUAAGACCGCAAAUAGUAGGGAGGACAUUUGAUAUUGUGCCCCCCCCCCUACUAUUUUGAGUAGGGGGGGGGAACCCUUCCCCCUGUCCCCCCUGGGAUUUCCGCCCAUGCCUCUGUGAAUUUGGGCCAUUCAGUCUACAACAGGCCCUAAAGGAUGAAAGCAAAGGUUCUCACUGUAAAACCAUGUCUUCCUCCUCAGGAAUCCCCCAAGUAGCUUGUUAUAACCAAUCCUCACAAUUCAUGGGGAAGGUGAGAAAAUAGUCUGCAAACACAGACUAAUAUUUGUCACUUUAACCAAACCAUGUCUAGAGUAAAGACUAGAUGCCAAAAGGACCACAAAAAACUUCAGAAUUUUGCUUUGUACUGCAAAUGAAAUAAAAACAUGUUGACACUUAUGAAACACCUCGAAGUUUGCCAAACUGUUAACGAAGGACAUAUAAUUGCAAAUUACUGGAUUACAGUAUGCCAUUUCUAGACAUUUGUGCAUUUCACAAAAUACCAGAUUGCCUGUGAAAAGCACCUAAGAGAUCUAUGACACCAAGGGGUGUUGCAAGAAAAUAUUUGCGAUCAAUUGCAAAUAUUCUGUUGCAAUUUUACAACUGAUAGAUCAAUGUUCGCUGUAGCAAAUUGGAUUACACUUCUUGUUCCAAGGAGCAGAUUAGCAAUCAAUCACUAAUUUGCAAUUAUCUGCAAGACAUAUGAUUGAUUUAGGGACCAAAAAUAGACUUGUGAUUAAUGGCAAGUAUCUUGCAACACCCCAUAAGACAUUGCCAAUAUGACGUGCCAGCACAUAGAAACAUUACAAGCAGACUUUGGAGGUAUAAAGGGCCCUGUCUUACACAGAGUUAUGAUUGAUCCAAUUAAUCUCAACUGUAUGGAAAUCCACCCACACCGUAACUUUCUUCUACAGGAAAUUAGCUCAAUCUCAUUUUAAACAAACAGAGUCACACUGAAUCUCCAAGAGAAUUACAAAAUGUAUGAAUAUACAUCAUAUCUGUAAAAUACUUGAAAACACUGAAUUUUAGAUGAUGAUGUUGCUGGCCAUCCAUAGUUGUGGUUGAUUGGAUCAAUCGCAACUCUUUCUAAGACAAAGCCUUGCUCUUGCAUCUAACUAUUCAAAGGGAGUGUCCCUGGUAAUAUCAUACACCUAAAUGUGUACGUGACCAAUAUACAGCAUCAUCUUUAUUAUCAUUACCUCACUAACUGUUGCCAAUUUGAUAAUGAUCUUAAAAUAUAUCUCUUCUAAAAUCGUCAGUGUAAAAUGAGAAAACAAACACCAAUAAUUGCAAUUCAUUGACAUCUUUUUGAUGUUACAUUAUGUACUAGACAUACACGAAUACCUCAGCAGUGUAGAAAAAAAAUGUUUUGCAACCUCACAAAACGUUGCAAAUUGAAUAAAUUUUUUAAAGAAUCUACCUUCCUGAAAGUUAUUGGCGCAACGUGAGACACAUCAGCACCGAUGUUAAGUGUGAUCAAUUGUCAUUACUCUGAUGUUAAGUAUUAGUGCACAAACA
rnacentral:lncRNA from 1 species